UGUAAAUGCUAUGUACUCGCAUACAUCCAGGCCAGCCUUUGCAUUCUUCACUUGAGAAGCUUCAACCUCCUGAACGGACGCAUACUGUCGGUUUCAUGGUCAUGGUCUGGGCCGGUAACGGUAUACGCAGGUAACAAGGAGUUCCACUAUUAUUGCAGCGUCUGGAAUCUAACGCAGUCGCAGACUUGACUCCUGGAUAUGGAUUCAUUUUCGUCUAAAGAGAUCCAGACAAAGUCGUUGACGAAGAAGCUCAAAACGAACCUUUUACAUAGUUUCGACAUCAGAGACACCUAGACUACAAAAUAUAGUGCAAUCUAGGUCUAAUUCCAGAUACCGCACUAAGAGGACGAUGCACUGGAGCUAUAUUCACAUAUAUCAACAAUCACAUUAAAUCAACCCUUCACGAAUUGUUAUAUGUGAAGAUGUAAUAUGUUAUAAUAUACUCAUAAGCUUGA